AUGGUAACUAAGAAUUAUACCAAUAAUUGUAACUGUCCUGGGAUGAUAAGCAGUCACACUGUCGCCUCAGCUAUUGUUUCUGUUUCCGUGGAGCAUCGAUCAUAUAAUUAUGCAGCAGAGAAUGUCUCCCACGCUUCCCCAUCAACACAAAGAAGCUCAGUUCAGGCAGUCCAACAAGAAAAACAGAAAAGGAGUCCAUCCAAGGUCUUGUCUGAUCAAUCGAACACCUCAAGGUCGUUGGCUGCAAUGGAGGCCGUUAGAGAUUCUGACGUUGCGUUCCUUCCAACAAAUUUUCUUCUGAUUAUUUUGAUGUUGUAUGCUUCACAUCGGUUUCUGUUGCUCGGAUCCGAUCCAUGUCACACCGAAGGCAUAAGUGAGAUAGCAGGAGAGGAGAGUGGGACUUGGACCAGAGAAAGGAGAUUGGAAUUCAGAUUUCACGCAUCGCAUACCUCACGUUUACACCCUCUGUAUUGCUGUGGUGAUCAGGUGUGA
rnacentral:rRNA from 1 species